rnacentral:rRNA from 1 species
GGGGGAUCUCGGUGUGGCAGACGGGUGAGUACGCGUGGGACCUUCCCUGUGGUGCGGAAUAGCUCCGGGAAACUGGAAUUAAUACCGCAUACGCCCUUCGGGGGAAAGAUUUAUCGCCAUAGGAUGGGCCCGCGUUGGAUUAGCUAGUUGGUGAGGUAAUGGCUCACCAAGGCUGCGAUCCAUAGCUGGUCUUAGAGGAUGAUCAGCCACACUGGGACUGAGACACGGCCCAGACUCCUACGGGAGGCAGCAGUGGGGAAUAUUGGACAAUGGGCGCAAGCCUGAUCCAGCCAUGCCGCGUGAGUGACGAAGGCCUUAGGGUUGUAAAACUCUUUUGGCGGGGACGAUAAUGACGGUAUCCGCAGAAUAAGCCCCGGCUAACUUCGUGCCAGCAGCCGCGGUAAUACGAAGGGGGCUAGCGUUGUUCGGAAUCACUGGGCGUAAAGCGCACGUAGGCGGACUGGUCAGUUGGGGGUGAAAUCCCGGGGCUUAACCUCGGAACUGCCUUCAAUACUGCCAGUCUUGAGUCCGAGAGAGGUGAGUGGAAUUCCUAGUGUAGAGGUGAAAUUCGUAGAUAUUAGGAAGAACACCAGUGGCGAAGGCGGCUCACUGGCUCGGUACUGACGCUGAGGUGCGAAAGCGUGGGGAGC